rnacentral:rRNA from 1 species
GACGAACGCUGGCGGCGUGCUUAACACAUGCAAGUCGAACGGAAAGGCCCUGCUUUUGUGGGGUGCUCGAGUGGCGAACGGGUGAGUAACACGUGAGUAACCUGCCCUUGACUUUGGGAUAACUUCAGGAAACUGGGGCUAAUACCGGAUAGGAGCUCCUGCUGCAUGGGGGGGGUUGGAAAGUUUCGGCGGUUGGGGAUGGACUCGCGGCUUAUCAGCUUGUUGGUGGGGUAGUGGCUUACCAAGGCAUUGACGGGUAGCCGGCCUGGGAGGGUGACCGGCCACAUUGGGACUGGGGUGCGGCCCAGACGCAUACGGGGGGCAGGAGUGGGAAAUAUUGCACAGUGGGCGGAGGCCGGAAGCAGCAACGCCGCGUGCGGGAGGACGGCCUUCGGGUGGUAAACCGCUUUAGCCUGUGACGAAGCGUUAGUGACGGUAAUGGGUAAAGAAGCACCGGCAAACUACGU